GACGAACGCUGGCGGCGUGCUUAACACAUGCAAGUCGAACGGAAAGGCCCUGCUUUUGUGGGGUGCUCGAGGGGCGAACGGGUGAGUAACACGUGAGUAACCUGCCCUUGACUUUGGGAUAACUUCAGGAAACUGGGGCUAAUACCGGAUCGGAGCUCCUGCUGCAUGGUGGGGGGUGGAAAGUUUCGGCUGGUGGGGAUGGACGCGCGGCUGAUCAGCUUGCUGGUUGGGGAGGGGCUUACCAAGGCUUUGACGGGUAGCCGGCCUGGGAGGGUGACCGGGCUCAAUGGGACUGAGAUAGGGACCAGACUCCUACGGGAGACAGCAGUCGGGAAUAUUGCACAAUGAGCGGAAGUGUGAUGAGGAAACGUCGCGUGCGGGAUGACGGCCUUCGGGUUGUAAAACGCUUUCGCCUGUGACGAAGCGUGAGUGACGGUAAUGGGUAAAGAAGCACCGGCUAACUACGUG
rnacentral:rRNA from 1 species